UCCUCCCUCUUUCUUCGUGCUUAACACAUGCAAGUCGAACGGAAAGGCCCAGCUUGCUGGGUGCUCGAGUGGCGAACGGGUGAGUAACACGUGGGUGAUCUGCCUCUAACUUCGGGAUAAGCUUGGGAAACUGGGUCUAAUACCGGAUAGGACAAUCGUUUAGUGUCGGUUGUGGAAAGUUUUUUCGGUUAGGGAUGAGCCCGCGGCCUAUCAGCUUGUUGGUGGGGUAAUGGCCUACCAAGGCGUCGACGGGUAGCCGGCCUGAGAGGGUGGACGGCCACAUUGGGACUGAGAUACGGCCCAGACUCCUACGGGAGGCAGCAGUGGGGAAUAUUGCACAAUGGGCGCAAGCCUGAUGCAGCGACGCCGCGUGGGGGAUGACGGCCUUCGGGUUGUAAACCUCUUUCGACAGGGACGAAGCUUUGGUGACGGUACCUGUAUAAGAAGCACCGGCUAACUACGUG
rnacentral:rRNA from 1 species